GGGGAUUUAGCUUAGUGGUAGAGCGCUUGCCUAGCAAGCACAAAGCCCUGGGUUCAGUCCCCA
rnacentral:tRNA from 1 species